UUACUUACCUGGCAGGGGCGAUACCAUGAUCAUGAAGGUGGUUCACCCAGGGCGAGGCUCUGCCAUUGCACUUGGGUGGUGCUGACCCUUGCGAAUUCCCCAAAUGCGGGAAUCUCGACUGCAUAAUUUCUGGUAGUGGGGGACUGCGUUCGCGCUCUCCCCUG
ensembl:snRNA U1 U1 spliceosomal RNA